CUGGAGCAGUCGAUGUUGGGGCUGAUGGUGUAGGGGAUGUUGACGCCGCACUUGGAGGGGAUGCUGCUGGCCUUGCCGACGUCGAGACCCUUCACGCCGCGGGCGGCGGUCUUGAGGCAGUUGCAGGCGGUGCGCUUGUCGGCGGUGGACCUGGCCUGGGAGUUGAGGCUCCUCACGCCCGAGCAGCACGCCCCGGACGGCCCCGCGCCCGUGCCCCUCACAUACGCUAUGCACGGCCCCACGGCAGAGUUCACCUGCCCGCA
rnacentral:lncRNA from 1 species